rnacentral:ncRNA from 1 species
AAGAAACAAAAGGGGGGCCGGAAAGGCUGAGAUUACACCCUAUGAACCUGCUCGGGUAAUGCCGGAAAGGAAUUUGUUCAUAGAGAAAA